AAAUCAUAGCAAUGGAUAUCUCAGCUCUCAUAUCAACGAAGAAUAUAGCGAAAUAUGAUACUUGGUGUGAAUUGCAGAAUCCCAUGAACCAUAGAAUCUUUGAAUGCAAGUUGUGCCAGAAGCCAUUAGGCCGAGGGCAUGUCUUCCUGGGCAUGA
rfam:Capsicum annuum cultivar Zunla-1 chromosome 2, whole genome shotgun sequence